GACGAACGCUGGCGGCGUGCCUAAUACAUGCAAGUCGAACGCUUCUUUCCUCCCGAGUGCUUGCACUCAAUUGGAAAGAGGAGUGGCGGACGGGUGAGUAACACGUGGGUAACCUACCCAUCAGAGGGGGAUAACACUUGGAAACAGGUGCUAAUACCGCAUAACAGUUUAUGCCGCAUGGCAUAAGAGUGAAAGGCGCUUUCGGGUGUCGUUGAUGGAUGGACCCGCGGUGCAUUAGCUAGUUGGUGAGGUAACGGCUCACCAAGGCAACGAUGCAUAGCCGACCUGAGAGGGUGAUCGGCCACACUGGGACUGAGACACGGCCCAGACUCCUACGGGAGGCAGCAGUAGGGAAUCUUCGGCAAUGGACGAAAGUCUGACCGAGCAACGCCGCGUGAGUGAAGAAGGUUUUCGGAUCGUAAAACUCUGUUGUUAGAGAAGAACAAGGACGUUAGUAACUGAACGUCCCCUGACGGUAUCUAACCAGAAAGCCACGGCUAACUACGUG
rnacentral:rRNA from 1 species